GAAUAUAAAUCAGCACUGAGGAUCGAGGCCUAGUUGUACCUGGGAGUCACAGAGACCGUGAUCCUGUGAGGGAGCAAACUGGAAUACUCAGGAAAGUCCUGCCUCAAUAGCCUUCCCAGCUGCUGGGUGGAUCGUCCAUCACCACAUUGCACGCAGUUGGUCUGCCAGAGAGAGACAAAGGGCAGGGAGAUCUGGAGCCUUCAAUAAAUCCUGUAGCGAGAAUUCCCAAUUCCUGUCUCGUCCAUCACCACAUUGAAGACGGUUGGUCAGCCAGAGAGAGAUGGAGAGUGAGAUCUGGAUCCUUCAGUGAAUCCUGCAGCCGGUACUCAGGAAGUUCCUGACUCAAUAGACUUCCCAACUGCUGUGUGUCUCAUCCAUCACCUUAUUGUAGAUGGUUGGUCAGCCAGAGAGACAAAGGGCAGAGAGAUCUGGAACCUUCAAU